GACGAACGCUGGCGGCGUGCCUAAUACAUGCAAGUAGAACGCUGAAGGAGGAGCUUGCUUCUCUGGAUGAGUUGCGAACGGGUGAGUAACGCGUAGGUAACCUGCCUGGUAGCGGGGGAUAACUAUUGGAAACGAUAGCUAAUACCGCAUAAUAGCAGUUGUUGCAUGAUAACUGUUUGAAAGGUGCAAUUGCACCACUACCAGAUGGACCUGCGUUGUAUUAGCUAGUUGGUGGGGUAACGGCUCACCAAGGCGACGAUACAUAGCCGACCUGAGAGGGGGAUCGGCCACACUGGGACUGAGACACGGCCCAGACUCCUACGGGAGGCAGCAGUAGGGAAUCUUCGGCAAUGGACGGAAGGCUGACCGAGCAACGCCGCGUGAGUGAAGAAGGUUGUCGGAUCGUAAAGCUCUGUUGUAAGAGAAGAACGAGUGUGAGAGUGGAAAGUUCACACUGUGACGGUAUCUUACCAGAAAGGGACGGCUAACUACGUG
rnacentral:rRNA from 1 species